rnacentral:rRNA from 1 species
GAUGAACGCUAGCGAUAGGCUUAACACAUGCAAGUCGAGGGGCAGCAUGGUCUUAGCUUGCUAAGGCUGAUGGCGACCGGCGCACGGGUGCGUAACGCGUAUGCAACUUGCCUCACAGAGGGGGAUAACCCGUCGAAAGACGGACUAAUACCGCGUACACUCUAUGUUGGGCAUCCAAUGUAGAGGAAAUGAAAUUCGCUGUGAGAUAGGCAUGCGUCCCAUUAGCUAGUUGGUGAGGUAACGGCUCACCAAGGCGACGAUGGGUAGGGGAACUGAGAGGUUGAACCCCCACACUGGUACUGAGACACGGACCAGACUCCUACGGGAGGCAGCAGUGAGGAAUAUUGGUCAAUGGGCGAGAGCCUGAACCAGCCAAGUCGCGUGAAGGAUGACUGUCUUAUGGAUUGUAAACUUCUUUUAUACGGGAAUAACAAGAGUCACGUGUGGCUCCCUGUAUGUACCGUAUGAAUAAGCAUCGGCUAACUCCGUG